rnacentral:rRNA from 1 species
GACGAACGCUGGCGGCGUGCUUAACACAUGCAGGUCGAACGCUGAAGCUCAGCCUUUGUUGGGUGGAUGAGUGGCGAACGGGUGAGUAACACGUGAGUAACCUGCCCCCUUCUUUGGGAUAACGCCCGGAAACGGGUGCUAAUACUGGAUAUUCACUGGUCUUCGCAUGGGGGUUGGUGGAAAGGGUUUUUCUGGUGGGGGAUGGGCUCGCGGCCUAUCAGCUUGUUGGUGGGGUGAUGGCCUACCAAGGCUUUGACGGGUAGCCGGCCUGAGAGGGUGACCGGUCACAUUGGGACUGAGAUACGGCCCAGACUCCUACGGGAGGCAGCAGUGGGGAAUAUUGCACAAUGGGCGCAAGCCUGAUGCAGCGACGCCGCGUGAGGGAUGGAGGCCUUCGGGUUGUGAACCUCUUUCGCUCAUGGUCAAGCCGCAACAAUGGUUGUGGUGAGGGUAGUGGGUAAAGAAGCGCCGGCUAACUACGUG